rnacentral:rRNA from 1 species
GACGAACGCUGGCGGCGUGCUUAACACAUGCAAGUCGAACGGAAAGGCCCUGCUUUUGUGGGGUGCUCGAGUGGCGAACGGGUGAGUAACACGUGAGUAACCUGCCCUUGACUUUGGGAUAACUUCAGGAAACUGGGGCUAAUACCGGAUAGGAGCUCCUGCUGCAUGGUGGGGGUUGGAAAGUUUCGGCGGUUGGGGAUGGACUCGCGGCUUAUCAGCUUGUUGGUGGGGUAGUGGCUUACCAAGGCUUUGACGGGUAGCCGGCCUGAGAGGGUGACCGGCCACAUUGGGACUGAGAUACGGCCCAGACUCCUACGGGAGGCAGCGGUGGGGAAUAUUGCACAAUGGGCGGAAGCCUGAUGCAGCAACGCCGCGUGCGGGAUGACGGCCUUCGGGUUGUAAACCGCUUUCGCCUGUGACGAAGCGUGAGUGACGGUAAUGGGUAAAGAAGCACCGGCUAACUACGUGCCAGCAGCCGCGGUGAUACGUAGGGUGCGAGCGUUGUCCGGAUUUAUUGGGCGUAAAGGGCUCGUAGGUGGUUGAUCGCGUCGGAAGUGUAAUCUUGGGGCUUAACCCUGAGCGUGCUUUCGAUACGGGUUGACUUGAGGAAGGUAGGGGAGAAUGGAAUUCCUGGUGGAGCGGUGGAAUGCGCAGAUAUCAGGAGGAACACCAGUGGCGAAGGCGGUUCUCUGGGCCUUUCCUGACGCUGAGGAGCGAAAGCGUGGGGAGCGAACAGGCUUAGAUACCCUGGUAGUCCACGCUGUAAACGGUGGGUACUAGGUGUGGGGUCCAUUCCACGGGUUCCGUGCCGUAGCUAACGCUUUAAGUACCCCGCCUGGGGAGUACGGCCGCAAGGCUAAAACUCAAAGGAAUUGACGGGGCCCCGCACAAGCGGCGGAGCAUGCGGAUUAAUUCGAUGCAACGCGUAGAACCUUACCUGGGUUUGACAUGGAUCGGGAGUGCUCAGAGAUGGGUGUGCCUCUUUUGGGGUCGGUUCACAGGUGGUGCAUGGCUGUCGUCAGCUCGUGUCGUGAGAUGUUGGGUUAAGUCCCGCAACGAGCGCAACCCUUGUUCACUGUUGCCAGCACGUUAUGGUGGGGACUCAGUGGAGACCGCCGGGGUCAACUCGGAGGAAGGUGGGGAUGACGUCAAGUCAUCAUGCCCCUUAUGUCCAGGGCUUCACGCAUGCUACAAUGGCUGGUACAGAGAGUGGCGAGCCUGUGAGGGUGAGCGAAUCUCGGAAAGCCGGUCUCAGUUCGGAUUGGGGUCUGCAACUCGACCUCAUGAAGUCGGAGUCGCUAGUAAUCGCAGAUCAGCAACGCUGCGGUGAAAAAGUUCCCGGGGCU